rnacentral:rRNA from 1 species
UGUCGUCAGCUCGUGUUGUGAAAUGUUGGGUUAAGUCCCGCAACGAGCGCAACCCUUAUCCUUUGUUGCCAGCGGUCCGGCCGGGAACUCAAAGGAGACUGCCAGUGAUAAACUGGAGGAAGGUGGGGAUGACGUCAAGUCAUCAUGGCCCUUACGACCAGGGCUACACACGUGCUACAAUGGCGCAUACAAAGAGAAGCGACCUCGCGAGAGCAAGCGGACCUCAUAAAGUGCGUCGUAGUCCGGAUUGGAGUCUGCAACUCGACUCCAUGAAGUCGGAAUCGCUAGUAAUCGUGGAUCAGAAUGCCACGGUGAAUACGUUCCCGGGCCUUGUACACACCGCCCGUCACACCAUGGGAGUGGGUUGCAAAAGAAGUAGGUAGCUUAACCUUCGGGAGGGCGCUUACCACUUUGUGAUUCAUGACUGGGGUGA